rnacentral:rRNA from 1 species
GACGAACGCUGGCGGCGUGCCUAAUACAUGCAAGUUGAGCGCUGAAGGUUGGUCCUUGUACCAACUGGAUGAGCAGCGAACGGGUGAGUAACGCGUGGGGAAUCUGCCUUUGAGCGGGGGACAACAUUUGGAAACGAAUGCUAAUACCGCAUAAAAACUUUAAACACAAGUUUUAAGUUUGAAAGAUGCAAUUGCAUCACUCAAAGAUGAUCCCGCGUUGUAUUAGCUAGUUGGUGAGGUAAAGGCUCACCAAGGCGAUGAUACAUAGCCGACCUGAGAGGGUGAUCGGCCACAUUGGGACGGAGACACGGCCCAAACUCCUACGGGAGGCAGCAGUAGGGAAUCGUCGGCAAUGGACGAAAGUCUGACCGAGCAACGCCGCGUGAGUGAAGAAGGUUUUCGGAUCGUAAAACUCUGUUGGUAGAGAAGAACGUUGGUGAGAGUGGAAAGCUCAUCAAGUGACGGUAACUACCCAGAAAGGGACGGCUAACUACGUG